AGUGAACGCUGGCGGUAGGCCUAACACAUGCAAGUCGAACGGCAGCACAGUAAGAGCUUGCUCUUACGGGUGGCGGGUGGCGGACGGGUGAGGAAUACAUCGGAAUCUACUUUUUCGUGGGGGAUAAUGUAGGGAAACUUACGCUAAUACCGCAUACGACCUACGGGUGAAAGCAGGGGAUCUUCGGACCUUGCGCGAUUGAAUGAGCCGAUGUCGGAUUAGCUAGUUGGCGGGGUAAAGGCCCACCAAGGCGACGAUCCGUAGCUGGUCUGAGAGGAUGAUCAGCCACACUGGAACUGAGACACGGUCCAGACUCCUACGGGAGGCGGCAGUGGGGAAUAUUGGACAAUGGGCGCAAGCCUGAUCCAGCCAUACCGCGUGGGUGAAGAAGGCCUUCGGGUUGUAAAGCCCUUUUGUUGGGAAAGAAAAGCAGCAGGUUAAUACCCCGCUGUUCUGACGGUACCCAAAGAAUAAGCACCGGCUAACUUCGUG
rnacentral:rRNA from 1 species